rnacentral:lncRNA from 1 species
CUUGAUUGAAACAGAAAAUGCCAUAAUCCUCAAGAAGAAAAAAAACAGAUAAACCAUUCCUGGAAAGAAAAGUCCAUGGUGCCCCUCAAAAUAUACACUACGUUUGCAGGAGAAUAUAUCCCUGCCAACAAACGUAUCCUCUCCUUUGGUAUUCACACAGAGAAAUCGAAACUCUUCAUCUCUUGACAGAAAGAUCUCUGUACGGGCUAAUGGGCAUGUCAUCCUAAUGUACUAAUCUCAAC